rnacentral:rRNA from 1 species
CAGCAGCCGCGGGAAUACGGAGGGCGCGAGCGUUACCCGGAUUUACUGGGCGUAAAGGGCGUGUAGGCGGCCUGGGGCGUCCCAUGUGAAAGGCCACGGCUCAACCGUGGAGGAGCGUGGGAUACGCUCAGGCUAGAGGGUGGGAGAGGGUGGUGGAAUUCCCGGAGUAGCGGUGAAAUGCGCAGAUACCGGGAGGAACGCCGAUGGCGAAGGCAGCCACCUGGUCCACUUCUGACGCUGAGGCGCGAAAGCGUGGGGAGCAAACCGGAUUAGAUACCCCUGUAGUCCCUGUCUCUUAUAC